rnacentral:rRNA from 1 species
UGCGUAGGCGGAUUAAUAAGUCAGUGGUGAAAUCUCUCGGCUCAACCGGGAAACUGCCAUUGAUACUGUUAAUCUUGAGUUCGGUUGAGGUAGGCGGAAUGUGUAAUGUAGCGGUGAAAUGCUUAGAUAUUACACAGAACACCAAUUGCGUAGGCAGCUUACUAGACCGACACUGACGUUGAGGCACGAAAGCGUGGGUAGCGAACCGGAUUAGAUACCCGAGUAGUCC